GAUGAACGCUGGCUGCGUGCCUAAUACAUGCAAGUCGAGCGAACGGACGAGAAGCUUGCUUCUCUGAUGUUAGCGGCGGACGGGUGAGUAACACGUGGAUAACCUACCUAUAAGACUGGGAUAACUUCGGGAAACCGGAGCUAAUACCGGAUAAUAUUUUGAACCGCAUGGUUCAAAAGUGAAAGACGGUCUUGCUGUCACUUAUAGAUGGAUCCGCGCUGCAUUAGCUAGUUGGUAAGGUAACGGCUUACCAAGGCAACGAUGCAUAGCCGACCUGAGAGGGUGAUCGGCCACACUGGAACUGAGACACGGUCCAGACUCCUACGGGAGGCAGCAGUAGGGAAUCUUCCGCAAUGGGCGAAAGCCUGACGGAGCAACGCCGCGUGAGUGAUGAAGGUCUUCGGAUCGUAAAACUCUGUUAUUAGGGAAGAACAUAUGUGUAAGUAACUGUGCACAUCUUGACGGUACCUAAUCAGAAAGCCACGGCUAACUACGUG
rnacentral:rRNA from 1 species